rnacentral:rRNA from 1 species
UUGCUUCCACUGAGAAGAUAGUGGCGGACGGGUGAGUAACACGUGGGUAACCUGCCCAUAAGAGGGGGAUAACAUCCGGAAACGGGUGCUAAUACCGCAUAGUUUUCUUGGUCGCAUAAUUGAGAAAGGAAAGACGGCCUUUGUGCUGUCGCUUAUGGAUGGACCCGCGGCGUAUUAGUUAGUUGGUGAGGUAAUGGCUCACCAAGACGAUGAUACGUAGCCGACCUGAGAGGGUGAUCGGCCACAUUGGGACUGAGACACGGCCCAAACUCCUACGGGAGGCAGCAGUAGGGAAUCUUCCGCAAUGGACGAAAGUCUGACGGAGCAACGCCGCGUGAGUGAAGAAGGUUUUCGGAUCGUAAAACUCUGUUGUCAGAGAAGAACAAGUCGGAGAGUAACUGCUCCGGCCUUGACGGUAUCUGACCAGAAAGCCACGGCUAACUACGUGCCAGCAGCCGCGGUAAUACGUAGGUGGCAAGCGUUGUCCGGAUUUAUUGGGCGUAAAGCGAGCGCAGGCGGUUCCUUAAGUCUGAUGUGAAAGCCCACGGCUCAACCGUGGAAGGUCAUUGGAAACUGGGGAACUUGAGUGCAGAAGAGGAGAGUGGAAUUCCAUGUGUAGCGGUGAAAUGCGUAGAUAUAUGGAGGAACACCAGUGGCGAAGGCGACUCUCU